CCUACGGGUGGCAGCAGUGGGGAAUAUUGGGCAAUGGAGGCAACUCUGACCCAGCAAUGCCGCGUGAAUGAAGAAGGUCUUCGGAUUGUAAAGCUCUUUUAUCAGGGACGAAGAAGAUGACGGUUCCUGAGGAAUAAGCCACGGCAAACUAUGUGCCAGCAGCCGCGGUAAUACGUAGGGGGCAAGCGUUGUCCGGAAUGACUGGGCGUAAAGGGAGCGUAGGCGGUCUGUUAAGUUGGAAGUGAAAUCCCGGGGCUCAACCGCGGAACUGCUUUCGAGACUGGAGGACUUGAGUGUAAGAGGGGUAAGCGGAAUUCCUGGUGUAGCGGUGGAAUGCGUAGAUAUUAGGAGGAACACCAGUGGCGAAGGCGGCUUACUGGAUUGUAACUGACGCUGAGGCUCGAAAGCGUGGGUAGCAAACAGGAUUAGAUACCCUUGUAGUC
rnacentral:rRNA from 1 species